UGCCCUCCGCUUGCACGGCAUUGGACCUGCUCACCUUUGGUCGUGCAUAGGUGGAUCGUCUGCGUGUCACUCGCACGCGGAUAGGCGCCCACACUGUUCGCGCCUACUGCGCGGAUAAGCCUUGUGCACCUUUGACCUACGCGUGCUGUAGAAGGCCUGUGCGCCUGUAGGCUAGCCUGCAGCGUGUCAGCUUGGGCACUGGCACCUUGGGCAGUGCGCUGCUGUUGCCUCGGGUAACGCACCACUACCACCAAUGGAGGAGGCCUUCCUCCCUCAUUUUUCAUACUAAACAUUUUUUUCUGCUCUCUCUUCACCAGAUUUAGCCACUUGACGUGAAUCCAACGGUUCCAAAACUUUAUAAAUUGCCUUUUCCCUUCCGUUCUUCCAUUUUUCAAGAUUUAGAGAGAGAGAGAGAGAGAGAAUAGUGAAGGAGAAAACAUCGUGGUUUCGGUAAGGAAUCUAGUAUUU
rnacentral:lncRNA from 1 species